rnacentral:rRNA from 1 species
AACGAACGCUGGCGGCAUGCCUAACACAUGCAAGUCGAACGAGACCUUCGGGUCUAGUGGCUCACGGGUGCGUAACGCGUGGGAACCUGCCCUUAGGUUCGGAAUAACUCCCCGAAAGGGGUGCUAAUACCGGAUAAUGUCUUCGGACCAAAGAUUUAUCGCCUUUGGAUGGGCCCGCGUUGGAUUAGCUAGUUGGUAGGGUAAAAGCCUACCAAGGCGACGAUCCAUAGCUGGUCUGAGAGGAUGAUCAGCCACACUGGGACUGAGACACGGCCCAGACUCCUACGGGAGGCAGAAGUGGGGAAUAUUGGACAAUGGGCGAAAGCCUGAUCCAGCAAUGCCGCGUGAGUGAUGAAGGCCUUAGGGUUGUAAAGCUCUUUUACCCGGGAUGAUAAUGACAGUACCGGGAGAAUAGGCUCCGGCUAACUCCGUG